ensembl:lncRNA
UUUUUUUUUUUUUUGCUGUCAAUCUUCUUGAUUCUUCAGGCCACCUCAGCAGACAGAGCAGACUGUCUGCCAUGAAAAUGUAAGGUGAUGCUCUACUAGGGAAGAAUAUGGUACUCACAGGCUCUGUCUUUAGGAAAGUCAAACAAAUAACACAUAAAUAAAAACCUCCAUGGCUGUACCAUGUCCUGCCUUAUCCUUGCAAUAACAGGAGGACAGGGCCUGAGGCUGCUUCCCCUUGUCUCCUGCACUAAUGCAAAUACAGCCGCAGUGUAAGAGCAGGCUGGGUGGAAGGUCAGCCCCAGAGAAGCCCUUUUGAGAAGCAGCUCUGAGCAAGGGGGUCUGAGGGCACUUUUGUCUCUCAUGUUUUGUGUAUAUUCUGUUUCAAGCAAUGGUACAUUUUCCUGAUACAUUUUUCAUGUAGCUGGAGCUAAGAGUUUUCUUGUAGUGUAUGGAGUGGGGAAUGCCACAGCAUAGCUACUCCAAAUGGCUUAACCAUUUUGAGUCCUCUCUUCCCUGAGAUUUCAGCUUUUCCCACUGCCCCUACCUCACCCUGGAUCAAUGUCACAGGUGAUGUGCAUCAUCCUUCUUCCUCAGCCUGGGUAUACAAGGAGGUGGCACCAAUGCCAAUGCCUAUUCCCACUAGGAUAGGCACCACCAAACAUACCCUUGGAAAUGGGGACAGCCUUGGGGUGCCACCUGUGCCUAUUCAACCCUCCCUGUCCGCAGGUGCCAGACCUUAAGCAACCUGUCCCCAGGGUGAGUGACGCCCUCCCCUGUCUCAGCGUGGGUGCACUGGGCAUGGCAAAGGGAACAGGGAUGGACACUGAAGGCUUGAGCUACUGCAGCUCCUGCAACUCCAAGUACCUGACAGAAGCACAACAGAGCCUGGGAGAUUAGCAAACAAGAAGAAAGUAGUUUAAAUUAUAUAGUAACUUUAGGGAAUAAAAACUGAGUAUAGCCUGUGUAAGUUGUGAGAAGUGGAGGAGCACAUACUCCUCUUGCCUCAGGCAAAUGCUUAUGUUGGUAGCAAGCUUGGUUAUGAACAUGACACCCUUGCAGAUAGAAACAACAAGAGCACCUAAGACGUACAAAAUAUUCUGUAUUUUCUUGGUGGGGUGUUAAAGAAAACAACUAUGUUCAUUGAAGAGUCUGCUUUGGCAAAGGGGGUGGGCAGAUACCACCUUCAAAAGCUCUCCCUCAUCCCUUUCAGUGGGACAGUCAGCAUCUGGUCUCUGCACCUGCCCCAUGCUCAAGGGGUGAAGCCGUUGCUGACCAGAAGGGCUGCUGCACCUUUCAGGUCUUCUGCAUGGAAAAUGUGGCUCUGUCCAACACUACCCCAAGAAACUCCAUGGCUCCAGCUGGGCUGCUCUAUCUAGGCAGCCCACGUGCAGGGAUGGGUGGUCUGUGAGGUACUGAAGCAGUGUGUGCCACCGCGCUCCCAGGGGCUGCUGCUGGCCUGCCUUUGCCCAGGAUGGUGGCUGAGGGAAACCAGAGGCGUCUGCAGUAUGAAAUGCACAGCAGGAACGAGCUGCACCACUACAAGGGUUGAAAAAGAAGCCCUGAGAGCCAAGGCAGCAACCAAGAGAAAGCUCUGGUUUUACUGCCUGUCAGUGGACACGCUCACAUGCCAAACUGUUGGCUGAGCUGCGUAAGAAACCAAAGCAGAGGAGACAGCUGUCCCCUGGUGAGCACAAACCCUUUAUGACCUCAACUGAAUCCUCCCUGAAAAGGUGUCAUGGUCCAUAGCUCCAGAAGCCAAGCAGACAGCUGCUGGCCAUGGCUGCACUGGGGAGGGUGGCCACCAGGGCACGUAUAGCGACCAUAAACUCUGUCAAGAUGUGCUCCACAACAAGAAGGCACCAGAGCUGCCCCGAACUCAGCAUCCACAGUUCUCCCCAUGGGGAGAACAGGUCAGGCUGCAACAACCAACUUGCAUUUCCAUAACUGGCUGAUGCAACUGGAAGGGCCAUCUUUCCAAGAACACACACAAAAUGUGUGUUCCGGGAAUGAACUGGUUAACUAACUCCAGUCAUCUCGAGGGAUGGCAGCCCUUGGAUGGACCUCACUGGGGAGGUCAGUGCCAGCACCCACUGCUUCACAUGGAAUGCAGCCAUGGUGAAUGCACCCCAGUGCACACUCAUCUUGCCAGCCCCAGGCAUCCUCCAUGUCCAGUGGAAAGGCUCCCCCAGAAUGCUGCAACAGCAUGAAAAAUCAAUAAAAUAUAUUGACUUUUCAUCUGACAAUAGCAAUUUUACAGCUCAAUGCUAACCAGAGUAAGCAGAAGAGCAUAUUGCUACCAAAAAUAAAUUAAAGGAGAGGUGUCGAUCUUUGAAGAUCCCAAAACACCCAGUACAAUUAACACCCAUAAACCCUGCACAGUCCUUUCAGUGAUUAAGGACAAUUCAGUCACUGCUCUGGGUGAAGCUCUCUCCAGGAACCAGCUGCCAGCACAUGUUUGGGUUUAGCUGUCUAAACAGACACUGAGGGAUUAGGUCUCUGUGCAUCUUCAACGUUAAUUAAAGGUUAUUUAUUACCCAAUUUUUCCCGAUAGUGUAUAUUUCUUCUUUGUGUAAACACAACCAAUUCCAAUGUCUAAAAAAAACCCCACAAAACCAAAAGUGGUGGAAAGGUCUGCAUUCUACUAAGUUAUGGGGUGUGAGGACACCCCACAGGCUGCCCUGCUGGCGCCUGGCUCUCCCGAUCCAGCAGCCACAGGCACGGGUGCUUGCCACCACACAGAGCUGAGUCUGAACACGCCUGCGUUCCACCAACUCCUUCCAUGCUGCUCAUGACUUGGGCAGUAGUUACCAGGAGAAGUUCUGGUACAUUUGCUCCUGGAGCAACAGUGUGUUCAUACAAUCAGAUCUGAACAAGGUAGCUGGAGCACACUCCAACAGCAGUGUGAAAUUGGUACCAGAGCAUCCUGGACAGCAUUUGUCACACACUGACACACAAAAUGUGCAUCUGGAACAAGGGGCAGUAUCCCCUUAUUUCAUUAACCAAUUUUAGGACCCUAGAAAGGGCUUACCCAUAUAACCUUUGGCAACAUCCUUGACACAGCCAGUGAAGUACUGCUGUCUUCUCCAGACCUUGGCUUUGCGUGGCUGGUGGGCACCAGGUGGGUUUGGCUGGAGUUAGAGCCCAGACUUUACAUCAAAAAGCCACUGAAGGUGCAGACUCAGGCACUGAGGAAAACAGAAAUGCAACCUUAUCCUGGUUGCCUAUAUGUUCCUGACAGUGUGGCUUCAUUAUGAUGCAUUUUUAAACACAGCUAUUUCCUUUUUUUUUAAAAGGCCUUGUUCUGAUGCAAAAGGUCAUCUACAAAUGGAAAAAACAAAUUUUUUUUCAUAGGCCUCUUUGUGACUUUUAAGUUUCUGACUCCAAACUAAGCAACACUUAUUUCACACAGAUUUGUACAAGUAAUAUGAAAAAUGUAAACUGGUCUAUGAAUCUGCUAUUAACGAUAUAAUGCUACUUGUUACCCUUGUAAAUGUAUAGAGCUAUUUUAGUCUUCCUCUUGCUGUGCCUUACAAAGGCAACACAUUGUAUUUUCAGUAGUUGCAUUUUUAAAUGUGUUUAUCUGGGUCACUGCUACUUACAGAAUAAAAAAAUUUAGUGAAGCCAGUUUAGAAUCAUUCUAGUGCAAAGAAAAAAAAUCUUUCAUAAAAACUGAAAGAAUUCUUUUGUUUGGAGGGUAAAGAUUUCAACAUUAUCAAAUUAAAGUCUUUGGACUGAUUCAAGAAGAAAACAGAUCUAUAGGCAGUUUUAUUCAAAAGACAUUUAGGCUUUUGGGGACUUUGGACUCAUCAUGAAUUAUUUCAUGUAACUGGCAAUUUCAGGUAUAGAAAAGAAAACGCAGAGCAUUACAAUAUUAGGAUUGUCUUUAAGCGUAUGAUGUAAAAUCAAGAAUAAUGAAGUGAUUCCUGAUUAUGACAGUCUGUCUGUCUCACUUGGAGCCCUACUGGUGUGCGUGCCAGCUCGCUCUGAGCGGCCACACUUCUAUCUGCACAGUGGCCAUCACAGAAGAUGGGAGAGAAGACAACCUGUUUUGAUGGCAUUGCUCCCAGAUCCUUCCACUAAAACAAAUAAUCUGCAAAGAGAGAAAGCAGGGAGGGACGUCCAGAGGCCAGAAGUGGCACUGGGCUCUGUGCAUUUCCAAUGGUCCUAGCUUUCCACUGUUUUGGAAAACACCCUAAGGAAGAUGUUGGUCAGGAUAGGCAAAGCUGCCACUCACGCAGGAAAUGAAGUGGGAGGCUGAAUGGCCUGAAUGGCUGAGCACAUCUGUGUGAUGCAAGGCAACAUCCCUCAGCAUCACACUGCCCAUCAGUGACAGGGAAGUGACUCAGAAGAGCACUUCAAAGGUUCAUGGAAUACUGGUUUAUUUUAGCUGAAGCAUGUCUACCACUGAACAGGGAGGACUGCAAGCAGAAAGCAUCCGCUCCGCGUCCCAUGGCUUCUGCUGGAGUGCUUCAUCCUGCAGGAACAAAAGCUUUCCCCCUCUUUUCCAUUUCUUCUGGUCAAGGGAGGAGGGUAGGCCAGGAGAUAACCAUCACUGGUGCUGCUGAACUGCAGCCAGAGGACACUUGACACUGCACCAGAAUGGGAUGAGAAGCUCAGCACCUGCCCCAGCCUGCCCCAUGGUCUCCACGACAGAAAGCGGAACAAUCCCCCAACCAUCAGUAGGGUACUGGUGUGACAGUAACACUAGGUUACAGCAGCUGCAUCACUCUGAUCUUAAUUAAUUAUUCCCCAUAUCCAAACAGCAGCAACACAGGGAGGAAAGGAGCAAGCAUGUAGUCAGCAGUUUGAUCCCGUUAUUGACAGGAUGCUAACAGAGGGAAAUAACUAAGUAUAAAACAUUUCUUGUGUCAGAAGCAGGUAGGAAGGGUGAUGGAUUUUCUUCAGAUUAUUGAAGGCAAAAAAAGAAAGACAUAUUUCUCAAAACCCCAAAGUUUUUAUUUACUGUUUCAAACAGGGCCAAUUUUUACCAGGUUUUUGGGUGUUGAUUUUUGUUUGGUUUUUUUUUUCAGUUCCUUCUAUUCCUUGUUGACAGACAACACACCAGUGAUUCACUGGAUAUGGUGAUCUACAGCUUCAGUUUUUGGGGACUGCAAGAGGGUAGUUUCUGGCACUUCAAGUCCUGCUGCAAUAGAAGUCAUCUCACAGUCAGCA